AAUUGUUACAGCUCUUUUAGCAUUUGUCUAACAUUUAUUUCGGUUUUUACUGGAAAAUCCAC
rnacentral:snRNA from 1 species